rnacentral:lncRNA from 1 species
AGUAGUUGCUAGCUUAGUUACUAAAGAAGAGAGAUUUUCUUUUCCCAUUUAUCAGAUAGUUAAAAUGUGUUUUUUCCAGUGGGUAUCAGUGAGCCAGAAUUAAAACUCAGAAUGCAACAGACAAGUGAAGAAUUUCAGACAUAGACAUUACAGGAGUCCUAAAACAGCAGAAACCUCAUUGAGCUGCAGAUCUCACAUCCCAGUUUACAGUGUUUCUUCCCAACAGAGCAGAGGCUAGUGUUGGUUUCCUUAUUUUGGCUUGGACUCCUCUCCUGUUCCAUCAGGCAAAUUAACACAAGUAAGUUAAAUCCAAGGUACUUGAAAGACAUCUGAACAGCACACAUGCACAGAGACAGGGGGAACAGUGGUGUGUGAUUGAGAG